rnacentral:rRNA from 1 species
UGGCGGACGGGUGAGUAAUGCUUGGGAACAUGCCUUGAGGUGGGGGACAACAGUUGGAAACGACUGCUAAUACCGCAUAAUGUCUACGGACCAAAGGGGGCUUCGGCUCUCGCCUUUAGAUUGGCCCAAGUGGGAUUAGCUAGUUGGUGAGGUAAUGGCUCACCAAGGCGACGAUCCCUAGCUGGUUUGAGAGGAUGAUCAGCCACACUGGGACUGAGACACGGCCCAGACUCCUACGGGAGGCAGCAGUGGGGAAUAUUGCACAAUGGGCGCAAGCCUGAUGCAGCCAUGCCGCGUGUGUGAAGAAGGCCUUCGGGUUGUAAAGCACUUUCAGUCAGGAGGAAAGGUUAGUAGUUAAUACCUGCUAGCUGUGACGUUACUGACAGAAGAAGCACCGGCUAACUCCGUGCCAGCAGCCGCGGUAAUACGGAGGGUGCGAGCGUUAAUCGGAAUUACUGGGCGUAAAGCGUACGCAGGCGGUUUGUUAAGCGAGAUGCGAAAGCCCCGGGCUCAACCUGGGAACUGCAUUUCGAACUGGCAAACUAGAGUGUGAUAGAGGGUGGUAGAAUUUCAGGUGUAGCGGUGAAAUGCGUAGAGAUCUGAAGGAAUACCGAUGGCGAAGGCAGCCACCUGGGUCAACACUGACGCUCAUGUACGAAAGCGUGGGGAGCAAACGGGAUUAGAUACCCCGGUAGUCCACGCCGUAAACGAUGUCUACUAGAAGCUCGGAGCCUCGGUUCUGUUUUUCAAAGCUAACGCAUUAAGUAGACCGCCUG